GACAGAGGUCUCGAGCGUUAGGCGGAAUCACUGGGCUUAAAGCGUGUGUAGGCGGAGUGCUAAGUACCUUGUGAAAUCCCACGGCUUAACCGUGGAACUGCUGGGUAUACUGGUUCUCUUGGGCCACUUAGGGGCUACUGGAACAAACGGUGGAGCGGUGAAAUGCGUAGAGAUCCGGAGGAACCCCAGAGGCGAAGGCGGCGUCCUGGCUCGCAUCUGACGCUCAGACACGACAGCAUGGGGAGCGAACGGG
rnacentral:rRNA from 1 species